rnacentral:lncRNA from 1 species
CUGAGAGACGUCAGGGUAGAAGCUGCCUGUCUUGGAUUCAAGAGAGCAAAGAAUGAACACCAGCCCUACAGAGAACCACCAACAUAUUGUUCUCCUUACCAUGACAUCAGCCACACCUCACAAACAUCCCAAAUGUGUUGGAUAGUGCUGUGUGUCAGCAAUCAGCAGUUGCCGGCAAUUGCACAAGUCAGCCUCUAACAUCAACUAGGGAGAAAGCCAGGGAACAAACCGAAGACUUUUCUACUGAGUCAUGACAAGAGGGAAGAGAAAGAUAAAGUCAAAAAGGAAGAGAAAAUGAUGAGGUUGAGGAAGCU